AGCUUUUCCGCGUACACACUUAGUAAAAAUCAUUAAUCAACUCACUUUCCCUCUCUCUAAUCGUGUUUUCCCUCUAUCUCCCCUAAUUUUAUCCUCUUUCUCACAUAACCCUAGCUAAAAUCUAUCGAGCUCCAUUCUACACCUCUAAACACUGUUCCGCCUCUCCCAUCCGCCAAUUAAAGCUCCGUCAUCCACCAUUCCGAGACCAUUUCCGUUGCUGAAGAAUAUAUAAUGGUGGACAAGGCAUGGGUUCAUCUUAGCAGAGUUGAUCCUGCGUAUGAGAGAGGGGUCAAAGUUUGUACGAGAUGUGGCUGCAGGUCUGGGAGGGACUGAUAUGAUUGUAUGUCCCCUGCAUUGACUGCCGUAAUAUAGAUCGUCACUCAGGAGUUGUGGUAGUUGAUCAUCUAGUUACUAGGGGAAUGGAGGAGUCUUACAAGAAGCGGUCUGAUUGGUAUCUACAUGAAGAAUUGGACUCAAGAGUUGAAUCUGAAAGCAGAACAAGUCAGUGGAAUGAUGAGAUCUUCGGGUUAUACAGAGCCGCUGAGUGUUUUGAUGAAGAUUUAGCUGGUACUGGGGAGUUAUCUGAGAUGGCAGAGGGAGACGACAAGAAAAAAGAUGAAUUCCUGGCAAAGAUAGCUGAAGUCGAAACCCCAUUGUAUCCGAGCUGUGCAUCACACAACAAGUUAUCUGCCAUUGUUUCUUUAAUCAGACUGAAGACAAAAUGGGUGGUCUGACAAGAGCUUCAACGAUCUGCUUGAGACCUUACCGGAGAUGUUUCCAGAGGAUAAUGUGCUCCACACUUCGCUGUAUGAGGUGAAGAAAUUUCUGAAAUCCUUUGAUAUGGGUUACGAGAAGAUUCACGCAUGCGUCAAUGACUGCUGUCUAUUCCGAAAGAGGUACAAGAAGCUUGAGAAGUGUCCAAAAUGCAAGGCUUCAAGAUGGAAGACCAAUAUGCACACUGGUGAGAAGAAGAAAGAUGUCCCACAGAAAGUAUUACAUUACUUUCCCAUCAUACCAAGAUUGAAGAGGAUGUUUCGGUCUGAGCAAAUGGCAAAGGAUUUGAGGUGGUACUUCACCAACAAAAGCACAGAUGGAAAACUUUGGCACCCUGUUGAUUCAGUGACAUGGGAUCAGGUGAAUGCAAAACACCCGGCCUUUGCAGCAGAAGAAAGGAACCUGAGGCUUGGUCUUUCAACUGACGGAUUUAAUCCCUUCAAUAUGAAGAAUUUGAUGUACAGUUGCUGGUCUGUUUUGCUAGUGAACUAUAACUUGCUGCCUGACCUAUGCAUGAAGAAGGAGAACAUCUUGCUUUCGUUGUUGAUUCCUGGUCCACAACAGCCUGGUAAUAGCAUCGAUGUGUACUUAGAACCCCUCAUCGACGAUCUAAACCAUCUGUGGAGCAGUGGAGAGGUAACCUACGACGCUGUAACUUGUUGUACUUUUAAUCUUAACGCAAUGCUGCCUUGGACGAUCAGUGAUUUCCCAGCUUAUGGGAAUCUUGCACGCUGUAAAGUCAAGGGGAAAAUGGGGUGUCCGUUAUGUGGAAAGAAGACAGAUAGUAUGUGGCUAAAGUUCAGCAGGAAACAUGUCUACAUGUGCCAUAGAAAGGGUCUGCCACCAACUCAUAGUUUUAGAGGAACGAAGAAGUGGUUUGAUGGAAAAGUUGAACAAGGGAGAAGGGGUAGAAUACUAACAGGUCGUGAAAUUUCUCAAAAUCUGAGAAACUUCAACAAUGACUUUGGAAAUUUUAAAAGAUCUGCAAGUAAGAGGAAAAGGAUUCAGAGUACUGAUUUAAGCUCUGAUGUUGAGGCUUUAUCUAGUGAAUCAGAGGAAGAGGAAGAGGAAGAGGAAGAAGUUCAAGUAGAUGAAGAUGAGUUAUCUCGGUGGAAGAAGAGAUCAAUCUUUUUCAGGCUACCAUACUGGGAGGAACUUCCGAUGAGACACAACUUGGAUGCCAUACAUGUGGAGAGGAAUGUGGCUGCGAGUUUAGUUUCCAUAUUGUUGCACUCUGGAAAAUCUAAGGAUGGUCUUGCUGCUCGUAAAGAUCUGGAGGAAUUUGGUAUUAGGCAGGAGUUGCACCCUAAAAUCCAAGGAAAACGAACAUAUCUUCCUCCAGCACUAUGGUCUUUGUCGAAGGCAGAGAAGAAGAUCUUUUGCAGGCGACUAUUUGACUUCAAAGGGCCAGAUGGAUAUUGCUCAAACAUUUCAAGAGGUGUUUCACUAGAUGACUGUAAAGUAUCAGGUUUGAAAUCCCAUGACUAUCAUGUUUUAAUGCAGCAACUUCUUCUGAUUGCACUUAAAGGAUCGUUACCUAAAGGACCUAGGCUGGCCAUUUUGAGGCUGUGCGCAUUCUUCAAUAUGCUGUGUCAGAGAGUGAUUGAUAGGGAGAAGCUAUUGGUUAUGGAAGCUGAGAUUGUUGAGACUCUAUGCUUGUUUGAAAGAUUUUUUCCUCCAAGCUUCUUUGAUAUCAUGGUCCAUUUUGAGGUUGUGCGCAUUCUUCAAUAUGCUGUGCCAGAGAGUGAUUGAUAGGGAGAAGCUAUUGGUUAUGGAAGCUGAGAUUGUUGAGACUCUAUGCUUGUUUGAAAAUUUUUUCCCUCCAAGCUUCUUUGAUAUCAUGGUCCAUUUGACUGUGCACCUAGGAAGGGAAGCCCGCCUUGGUGGACCAGUCCAAUUUAGAUGGAUGUACCCAUUUGAAAGGUACAUAAAAGUCCUCAAAGACUUUGUGAGAAAUCCUGCAAGACCUGAGGGGUGCAUCGCUGAGUCGUAUUUAGCUGAAGAAUGUAUCGGGUUUUGCAGUGAAUUUUUUAAGAAGACAACAAACGUAGAAGAAAAAAUAGACAGAAACACAUAGUAUGAGAACAAUUCCAUCUUAGAGGGUCGUCCAAUAUCCCACAGGCACUCCAAUUACUCUGACUGAAAUGGAAAAGAAAGUAGCACAUCUUGCUAUCAUCCAAAACAUGGCUUUCGUCGAACCAUACGUAGAUGAGCAUCUACAGUAUUUACAAGACACAUGUGAAAAAUGUCGGCGAGAUGCAUCAACCUUAUUGAGUAUGCACACAAAGAAUUUCGCAACUUGGCUAAAAGAACAGGUGCCUCUUGAUUCUACAGAGCAUGAAGAAACACUUAAGUGGAUAACUUAUGGUCCAUGUUGUUCUGCAAGGUCUUAUACAUGAUUCAUAGUUAAUGGGCAGAGGUUUCACACAACGUCAAUUGAUAGGAGAAGUCAGAAUAGUGGGGUUUAUUACGAGGCUACAACAGUCUGUAGAUCUAGUGCCAAAGAUAUAUCACAGGUCGUCGAUCUGGUUUCUUAUUACGGCAGAGUAACUGACAUCAUUUUGCUGGAUUAUAAUGUCUUCUAUGUCCCUCUGUUCCGGUGUGAAUGGGCAGUAAAGGGUAAUGGAGCGAAGAUUGAAGAUGGUUUCACCCUUGUUAACCUCCAUCAUAGUCAAGCAUCCUUUGCAAGUGAUCCAUACAUUCUAGCAUCUCAAGCAAAGCAAGUCUUUUACUCUAGGGAAGAUGAGUCAUCACAUUGGUAUACUGUUAUGAGAGGUCCUUCGAGAAGAUACAGUAAGGAAGAUAUUCAAGAGGGGACUGCAGACAUUGGGCCAUUGCCAUCAAAUAUCGACAUGGAAGUUGACAUUGAUGAGGCAGAGAAUGUCAGAACUGAUUGUGAAGGCAUAUAUGUAAAUUGUUAUGGCCGGUGGAACGAAAAACAAAAGAGGAGGGAAGCCAAAAAA